CCUACGGGAGGCAGCAGUGGGGGAUAUUGCACAAUGGGGGAAACCCUGAUGCAGCGACGCCGCGUGUGGGAAGACGGUCCUCUGGAUUGUAAACCACUGUCCCCAGGGACGAAGAUGACGGUACCUGGGGAGGAAGCUCCGGCUAACUACGUGCCAGCAGCCGCGGUAAUACGUAGGGAGCGAGCGUUGUCCGGAAUUACUGGGUGUAAAGGGAGCGUAGGCGGGACUGCAAGUUGGGUGUCAAAUCUACCGGCGCAACCGGUAGCCGCACUCAAAACUGCAGUUCUUGAGUGAAGUAGAGGCAGGCGGAAUUCCUAGUGUAGCGGUGAAAUGCGGAGAUAUUAGGAGGAACACCAGUGGCGAAGGCGGCCUGCUGGGCUUUGACUGACGCUGAGGCUCGAAAGUGUGGGGAGCAAACAGGAUUAGAUACCCCUGUAGUC
rnacentral:rRNA from 1 species